UGCAUGUUUCGAUUGACAGCCUGAUAAAGACUCAGGCUGCAUCCGAAUCCGCCUACUUCUCUACUAUAUAGUAGGGGGAAAGCAGUAGGUGAGCGAAUAAGUAUGUCCGAAUCCUUAGUAUUCAUAAAAGAGUAGGCGAGAAUUACCUGGGUGAUGUCUAAUUCUCACGAGAUUCGGACGUGCGUAUACUUAAAGUGCGUCUGAAUAUACCUACUUACCUACUAUAUAGUAGGAGAAAACAGUACGUGAAACGAAUAGUAUGUCCGAAAACCUUAGUAUUCACAAAAGAGUAGGCGAGAAGUUCCCAGAUGGCCUACUGCUCCCGCCCAGAUUCUGAAGUGUUCCUCGAUGGACACUCUUCUAUCCCAGGAGGCCACGGGAGAGGAUACGUCAUAAUCGAACACGGAGGAGAAAAGUGGCACGGAUGCUUUCAAAUGUGAGUAUUAAAAACCAAAAACAUGGUUCUUGUGUUAAAAUCGCAUUUGUUGAACUACUGUAGAGUAAACUGUUGAAGUGUUGAAUGUGUAAAGAUGCUAGACAGUAUAGUGUAGUUGAGAUUUUACUGUAAAAACAUGUUUUAUUGUGUACAGAUAACAGGGGAGCUUCAGUAAACACACGUUCAUCUCCAAAGUGGAUUUACAUGAAUUCUAAACCAUAUACAUCAUAAAGUCGAUUACUAAAUGUUUAUUCAACAUCUGACAGGACAAUAUUCAAUAAGUAUUGCAGAUGAUGAGCACAUCACAACAUGAAAUAUACAUCUGAGUGGUGUGUGUGUGCGCGCGCUAUUAUGUAGAAUUCAACACUGCUUACAUUACAUGAAUGUAAGUAAUGUAAGUAAUGAGUAAUGAGAAACUGAUGAAGGAAUGAUGCCAUCAAAGGCUUUGAGUGAGUAUACUACAGAAAUGAAUACAAAAUCUAUUAAAAUCUUAAGUUGUAGUUUAUUUUAAUUAUUGUAAUUUCAAACAGUUAUUACAGCACUUUUCUGAUUCUUGAUGUCUGUAUGUUUGCUGCAGAGCUUUUGUGGUGGAGCAGGACCUGUGAGGAAACGGUGGCAUUUGUGGGGAAAAAAGGGAAGAAGAAACCAGCAGGGAUUGAAAAGCGUGAAGGGAUGAUCCCCCGUGGAGUAAUCGGGAGUAAAGUGUCUUGAUCAAGGACACACUGCUGGAGACACUGUGGAGAUUGAACCAGCAACCUUCUGCUUACCAGUUCAGUGGUUUAGAUCACUACACCACAGAAGAAAUAAAGCUAUAACAGAAAAUAGCAUGUCUUGCUCAUGGAGAGCACAUGAAUGUUUGGAGCAGACACAGCGGCAGCCGGAUUGUCCCGCACAUCUUCUCCUACUCUUGCUUCAAGGUUGUGGGGUUCAGGGGUCCAUCAUCAUGGUCUUCCUCAUCCUCUGGAUCAGUGAUGUCCCCAUUGAGAAGAGCAGCAGUGAGGGACAUGAUGGAUGACAAAGACAGGUGAAGGUGUUCACGGUGGUCAGCUGCUUCAUCAGAAUAAAGCCGCAGAAUUGGCACAGCUGUGUUGAGAUGGCAGCAGGACUGUAAAUAUGUGAUUGUUAGAACAAUAAGUUUGAAUAAAGCUUUGUUUCAUGUGUUGUUGACUUGUAUAUGUAUCUAUUUAUUGUGAUGGUUACUUUUAUUCAUUCUUUUACUCAUUUGUUUCCUAUUGUUGUCAGUAAAUAAAAUAUAUUUAUUUUAUUAAUUCAUGCAUUAAUUCAUUGCUUGACUGCAAAUUGAAAUAUAUUCACCUUGGUUGCAUUUGUCUAGUGUGUAUUCAUGCAUAGCUAUGCCAUAUGACAAAACAAAUUACAUCUGCUUGUUUACUAAAACAUCAUAGAUCAGGGUAAAUACCAUGCUUGUAUCUUUAACAAUGAACAACCAUAAUAACAAAAAAAUCAAAUAUCAUGGGUUUGUGUACAUCAUAGCAUGAGGUCACAUGAUAACAUCAACAUGGCAGAUGAUGUCCGGAUCGCAUUCAUACUCAACAAGAUUAGUACCUACUCGUUUAAGCUCGUUAAGUAAGUACUAACUGAAAUUAAGUACCUACUCAUUGAGUAGGCGGUUUCGGACGCAGCCAGUGUUCUCUAAAGACUAUAUACCAUGGACAGUGAGGCUGCAUCCGAAACCGCCUACUUCUCUACUAUUUAGUAGGGGAAAAGCAGUAGGCGAGCGAAUAAGUAUGUCCGAAGCAAAAAGAGUAGGCGAAAAUUACCUGGGUGACGUACUAAUUCUCGCGAGAUGCGGACGUGCGUCUACUUAAAGUGCAUCCGAAACAGCCUACUUCUCUACUAUAUAAUAGGGAAAAAGCAGUAGGCGAGCAAUUAAGUAUGUCAGAAACCUCAGUAAUCAUAAAUGAGUAGUCGAGAAGUUCCCGGAUGGCCUACUGCUUCCGCCCAGAUUCUGAAGUGUUCCUCGAUCGAUACUUUUCUAUCCCAGGAGGCCACGGGAGAGGAUACGUCAUAAUUGAACACGGAGGAGAAAAGCGGCGCGGAUGCUUUCAAAUGGACAGAUGAUCACACGUGUGUUUAUCCGGUGAUGAAGGAAUGCUGCCAUCAAAGGCUUUGAAGCUUUGUGGUGAAGCAGGACCUACAAGACAAGGUGACUGCAGCAAAAAAGGAAAACCUGAAACAAAAAUAUAAAGAUGUGAAAUGUCCUCAGACUGGUGUGAGCACUGAGGAUGGAGAGCCACAGCAGGUCCUGGAAAUGGUGUAGAGCCAUGGACGAGAUGCUCCAUCACUCCUCCUUCCAAGUGACUUGAUCAAGGACACACUGGAGGUGAUGCUGCAGAGAUUGAACCAGCAACCUUCUGCUGACCAGCUCAGUGGUUUAGCCCACCACACCACAAAAUCAUGCUGAUGGAGAGCACAUGAAUGUUUGCAGCAGACACAGCAGCAGCAGCCAGAUUGUCCUGCACACCUUCUCCCACUCUUGCUUCAAGAUUGUGGGGUUCAGGGGUCCAUCAUCAUCAUCUUCCUCAUCCUCUGGAUCAACGAUGUCCCCACUGAGAAGAGCAGCAGUGAGGGACAUGAUGGAUGAAGGUGUUCAUCAGCUGCUUCAUCAGAAUAAAGCUGCAGAAUUGGCACAGCUGUGUUGAGAUGGCAGUAGGAUUGUAAAUACGUGAUUGUUAGAUCAAUAAAUUUGAAUAAAGCUUUGUUUCA